ACGGAGGCCUCUCUGUAAGCUCCGCCCACCUGCUGAUCAUCUGAGAGGCGGGGAGAGAAGAGCUGCUCUGCAGUUUGCAGGCCCAGCCUGCGGAGGAUCCUAGGCCUCGCAGAAGGCAAGCAGGAUGCCGAGAUGGCAACUGGACUUCUUCCUCAAAUACUGCAUCUGAAAAGUAAAAGUGUGACAGAAGCAACCAUCCUACCAAACAGGCAACAGCAGAAAGGAAGAAAGGAAGAGCCAGUGUGAUGUAGUGGUGAGAAUGUUGGACUAGGACCGGGGAGAGCAGAGUUCAAAUUAUUGUUCAGCCAUGAAAUUCACUGGGUGACCCUUGACCAGUUACUUAUCUCUCACAGGGUUGUUUUGAGGAUAAACAUAACCAGGAACAGAAUAUCACUGCAGUAAUAGAUAGAUAGAAUGAAUCAUAAUGUUGGGAUAGCUGAUUGCAUUUGCCUUCCAAAUGUCUGUGGGACUUGCAGCAGCUGACACAAACGUAGCUAGUCUUUUGGUGACAAGUACAUUAUUGCCCCUCAUAAUGAAAGUUUGAUUUUUCUGUUCUGUACGCCCAAGGUCAAAUCUGGACAAUAGGCUAUCAUAACAAUUCAAGCUGUCUAUGAGGCCAGUUCAGAUGAUACUUUUAAACAUGUGUUUAGUAUAUCUGUGGGGUUUUUAUACCCACUUGGAAAAAAGAUUCAGGUGGCUUGUACGUGCAUGAGUGCGACGUGCACCGGGCGCUUCCAGGUACUUCCCAUCCAAAGCGCACCAGGGCAGCAAGGAGGAACGCUGCUGCGCCAUGGGACCAUUUUAAACCACAGCACCGGUGGGGGGAACGCAGUGGGGAGGAGGGGAAGAGCACCCUCUUCAGUCCUUAAAGCUCCCCCCCCCACCUUCCCACAACUCCAGAUUUCUGGUGAAGAAUGAAGAGACACAGUUUUUCAGCUGUAAGUGGGGUGCUGGAAGAGAAAUCAAGGGCCCAGGGGUGU